UACGUAGGGGGCAAGCGUUGUCCGGAUUCAUUGGGCGUAAAGAGCGUGUAGGCGGCCAAACAGGUCAGCUGUGAAACUCGAGGCUCAACCUCGAGACGUCGGUUGAAACCGUUUGGCUAGAGUCCGGAAGAGGAGAGUGGAAUUCCCGGUGUAGCGGUGAAAUGCGUAGAGAUCGGAAAGAACACCAACGGCGAAAGCACUCUGCUGGGCCGACACUGACACUGAGAGACGAAAGCUAGGGGAGCGAAUGGG
rnacentral:rRNA from 1 species